rnacentral:rRNA from 1 species
UCAUUAGUUUUUUAAUUGAAAGCUAGAAUGAAUGGUUUGAUGAAAAAAUAACUUUCUUUAUUUUAAUUUUUAAGAAUUUUAUUUUUAAGUUAAAAAGCUUAAAUUUUUUUAAAAGACGAGAAGACCCUAUAGAGUUUAAUUUAUUUAAAUUUUUAAAUUUUUAGAAUUUUAAAAUUUUUUAAUUUAGAUAAAUUUGAUUGGGGUGAUUAAAAAAUUUAAUAAACUUUUUUUAUAUUGUUACAUUAAUUAAUGAUUUAUUGAUCCAUGUAAAUGAUUAAAAGAUUAAAUUACCUUAGGGAUAACAGCGUUAUUUUUUUUUAGAGUUCUUAUCGAAAAAAAAGAUUGCGACCUCGAUGUUGGAUUAAAGUAAAUUUUAGGUGUAGAAGCUUAAU